ACUAUUAUUUAUAUUAGCCACAUGAGUUGAGAACACCUUAAAGAAAACCAAUUAAUAAUUUAAUUGAAAAAGUGACUAUGAAUAAUACAUGAAGAUGAUGAUGCUAGCAAUAACGCAAGUAAUGUGGCACUCACAACACAGAGAUGUCUCUGGAAAUGUCUCCAGGGACACAAGGACUCCAGGCCCCUAUGUCCUACCUGGGAGCAACCCGGAGCCCGUGAGCUAAAGACAGUAAGAAAAUGUUUACACUCCCCGAAAAUCUAAUUUUGCUCCUUUAUCUUAACUUUUAUUAACAGGGGACGACCUCAUAAUCUGGUGACAUCAUGAAUCUGGUGGGCCGACAGAUAAAUAUCUUCAAUAAAAGAAAAGCGAGAAUGCCAAAGAACCAGCUAUAAAGUAAUCUGGAAGGAUGUGGAGGUGCUGGGCAGAAGGCCCUGGGGGGAUCUGCAGGACACUACCAGCAUCCCAAGGGGCACACGGGGCAAUGUGCCCUCCGGCACCUCAGAGGCCUGACAAGUGGAACUGGGAGUAACCCUGGGUCCCUUUCCUUUAUCUUAAUCCAGCACCAGCUACAAACAUGCAUGAAGUCGCUAAUGCCAGCUUCAGAUUUGCGACUGAAUCAAAGUCAUCACUACAAGGUUGGUGUUUUUUUUUUUUUUUGGGGGGGGGUGGGGGGUGCAUGGAGAAGUGGACAAUAAGGAUGUAUUAAAGACAGAGACAAGGUGUGUGGGUGUGGGGAGGGGGGGCACUUCAAAGAAAGGAAGCUGGGAUGAAUCACUGCAUGCCAUGGAAAUACCAGGGCAAGUGGAUGUCGGAGUGUUUAACCAGAUUCUAAGCUGGAAACAUCUUCCCCAGCGGGCGAACCCUAGGACGAGGCAGUGACACGCAACCCUCAGCCUUUGAACCCAGACCUGGCAGCUUAGGAACGCGUCCCCCCCUUCCCCAGGCAUUCGCAGGCUCUGGCUGAAAAAGCGAGGUGGGGGUAGGGAUGAGAGGGCCCUGCGAAGAAACACAAUAAACAACUCAAAUAUGAACGGAAAUGACAUCAGCAAAGUGAAGGGCCUGUUUAUUGCAGAUCAAAACAAAACAAACUUCCAAACCUUUUGUGUAUACAAGAUAACUCUAUAAAAAGCCCUCCUAAAAUGUCACCAGGGUUGACACAUCAGCAUCCCAAGAAAACAGAUGACAGUUACCAAAGGGGGAGGGGGGAAAGGGAGGAGGAAGGGGGAUGAAGGAAAGAAGAUGGGAGGAGAUAGAAAACCAGAAGGGGCCAAAAACCCAGCUGACUAGUUCCCCCCUCUGCUGAUCCUUAAUAUUUAUUGGUGUUUAUAAUCUAAAAGCCAUGCUCUGUGUUUCACUUAAUACAAGGCCAGACAGUGCUGUCUAAUGAGGCAGCAUUACAAUCAGCUUGUAAUACUGAAUUUUUAAUGCUGCCAAGGAUUCUGUUACAUAAUAAUAUGAAAAACAGAAGCUGAAAGUGGGCUCGCAGUGACAGGACACUGGAGGUUCCAGGCAGGCAAGCAGCUCCAAGCCCGCCUUCCCUUCCCUCUCUCGCCCACCCCUGUCUCCCGAUCAGCUCUCCAUCCCUACACAGGAGGUCGGUAUGGAAACCAAGAGGAUUUCUUAGGAAAUCCACUCUUUUUAUUAUUAUUGCUAUUAUUAUAAGCUGUGAUCCAAAGUAUAUUUCAAAGAGUUUGAAUUCUAGCCUAUCUGGGGUUAGAAGCCUGCAGUGAAAAUUGGGGGAGGCUGAAAGACAAGGAAUACAGGAGUGGGGGAUAGCUUACUUUACGAAAGCCAAACAAUACAAAAAAAAAAAAAAUCACAGAGGGAAAAGUACUAAGAUGCUUGGGGGGGUGGGGGGGUGCUGAAGUCGGCCAACCAUAUUCGCAGCUGCUGCACGCAGUUUACAUUGGUGUAAUUUAAAGGCAUAUAUAUAGCCGCCGUUGCUCCUCUCUGUAAUACCCCAAGACUGUAAAUCUAUAACCACUGCAAUGAUUUAGUGAUUAAAAACAUGAUAACAUAUUGUGUAACUGCAAACCACAGAACCCCUGCCAACUCUCCUCGAAGAUAAAGAGAAAAAAAAAUACAGAAAAUGUGUUGCUUGCAGCGAUCUUCCUAAACCCAAAAGAUUUUAAUAAAAGAACCUAUAUAGUAGACGAAUCGGAAAAGGGUGAGUGAAUUCUAUGUGAAGCCAGCAAAGGGAGGGGGGGAAAGGGGAGCUUUAUGUGGGAUUCUUUUCCUUGUACUAACAAAUUACGACCUAAACAUGCCUUUUCUUUUCUCUCUCUCUCUCUCUCUCUCUUUUUUAAUAGUUUGUUGUAACUGGAAUGACUGGUCUUGUGUGCUGUAUUGCAUAUUCAAAGCAGCUCUGUAAUCGGAUCUGGAGACCCAACCUUAUUUGCCUGAACUCAAUAGGGUUUUUCUUCUUGCCCCCCCCCUCACGCCCCCCUUCUUGUUUUGUUUUGGAUUCGGUGUUGUGGGGUUUCUGUUCUUGCUGGGAGCAGACAGCAACCCAGGAAUAGGCUCUGGUGCCUUUAAGCUACAGAGCAAACACCUGAGAGGGGGAGGCACAAUUUGUAACCUGGCAGGAGGAGCCUAAAAUAUACACAAAAAAAUAAAAUCAAAGCAGCUGUAGGGGUUUUGGCCUCUGAGCAGCUGACCUGACCCCAUUCUGUAUAUUCUUUUAUUUCCCCAUUGCAGGAUUCCUGCACCUUGGGUCAGAUUCGAACUCAAUGUGACCCUGAGGAGAAGGCAGUCACCGAGCCCUGGAAAACUCUCCGCAUGUAAUGCGGGGGGAUGGGGGAGUAUAAGUGCAUCCACAUUCAGACUUCCCCAGUGUAGACACCCACGCACUAUGUACUUACACACACACAUACACACACACACACACACACACACACACACACACACACACACACACACACACACAUCUGUCAGGAAUGCCAGGCCAUGGGGCCAGCUCCAGCCCAGCUUUCUCAGUUAACACUAACCACAGCCUGAACUCUCCCUAAAGCCCCCCAAAAUCUUCAUAUCUAUAACUCUACCCAUAAACACAUGCAUGCACAGGCGAACACUCCUCCAGAGACUUUAUAUGUUUAAAAAGUCCACAGAUCUGAAUUGCCUCCUCUCUGGACCUGAGCAGGGCAGUUUAUUCAGAGAAAUCAAUAGGAAAGAGCAUUUGCAAAUAUUUAUAUAAGCCCUGUGCGUUUCAGCAUUAAGUAAUUAAAAACUAAAACUCAGGGAGGGGGAAGGGAGGGAUACACAGACAGAAGAAGGCUGCAGGCCUAGAGUGGGUUUUCCUGCCUACACCUCAUCUCCCCAAACCACAAUCCUUUCAAAACUGACUCCAUGUACACUUUUUACGAAAUCCUGUUCGUGCACCAUUUGCUAGACUAUUUCAAAAUCAUCUCCAAAUAUGGAUUUACCUACCACCAAGCUUUCAAGCCUGACUAUAAGAGUCUGUAUUCUCUCUCUCUCUCUCUCUCUCAAAUGCACACACAGCAAUUCUUACUUUUGACACUGCUUCAAUCUCUGGUGUAUUACUCUCUACUGUAUUCAUAUUCCUGAAUUAUUUGCACUAAAGAUACCCAACAUUAUACGAUGAGAAGAGGGCCCCCAAGGUGAUAAUUCAAUGAUCGAAUACCCACCCCCUACUCCCCCACCAAUACUUUCCACUCCCCUCAACCUACAGGAUACCUACACCUUGGGGGUUCAGUACCUGAAACCCACAUAUGUAAACAGAUUUUCCCCCUCAAAAAUGUACAGCAAAAUGAAGGAGUUUUUAAAUGAGCCACUAUCGACUGGACUUCCCCUAUAUUGUUCCGGAGGGCUGACACUAAAUUCUGUUUGUACUGCCUCUAAAUCUGCUCUAAGGAGCCAACCAAGGCAGUGGAGCACCCACGCUGCAGAUAUUGUAGAAAUUUACAGUAAAUGUAGGUACACGAUUGCAGCACGCUGCCCUAUUGAUUAUGCAGAUUGUGAUCAAUCUUCUCCCCUCUCCGUUUCCCAAGCCUCUUUCUGAAGACCUCCAAAUAAGUUGUUCUGUAACUAGCCAUUCUCCCAAAGUAGGGAGAAAAAAGUAAUUUUUU